GCGAUCUGUGGGACAUUUAAAUCAUACAGUCCAAUAUAAACAUCAUACAGUUUACUACCGAAAUGAAUAAAUUAACGUAAAAAUAAAUUCCUAAAUAAAUUACUAUAAAGUUUAAUGUAAAUUAAUAAAUUGCUGUAUAAAUAUCACAGGUCUGUUUCCCCGAAUCAGGUGAGAGGACCUCUCCUGUUGCUGCGGGAGAGACUCAUAGGGGGAACGUUUCUCUCACCGUGGGAGGACAUUUGCUGUGCGAGAUUCACUCCAAACUAAAAAGGUACCAGGACGUGGCGAGAGCACACCUGGAGAAAACCCAGCUCAAUAUGAAGCAGCACCAUGAUAAGAAGUUCCGGGCGAAGUGCAGAUGUUUCAAGCCAGCUUUGUGGAGAUGUUGGGCCACUUGAAUGAAGAGAAACGGGGAGAGAUGCAAACUCUGCUAGACGAGUAUGGUUUUUAUGUUUGGAGAGGUGCCUACCCAGACCCAUGUCAUUAGCCAAGAUAUUCAGCUCACAGACACCAGGCCUAUUCGUAUGCACCCCUACAGAGUGUCGCCAGAGAAGAGGGCUAUUAUGAGGAAAAAAGUGGAGUUCCUCCUAGAACAUGGUCUCGUUAAAUCUAGCCAAAGUUGCUGGUGCUCUCCCUGUUUGUUGGUUCCCAACCGGAUGGGAAGUGGCGCCUGUGUAUUGAUUACAGGCGACUGAACAUGGUAACUGAAGUAGAGGUUUUCCCCUUACCUUUACUUGAGGACUGUAUCGACCAGUUAGGCCAUUGCCAGUUUAUUUCUAAGCUAGAUCUGUCAAGGGUUAUCACCAGGUGCCCUUGACAGACCGAGCGAGUGAAGUGUCAGCAUUUUAACACCAGACGGUGUUUAUCAAUAUAAUGUAAUGCCGUUUGGCUUGAAAAAACGAACCAGCAA